rnacentral:rRNA from 1 species
AGAGCGAACGCUGGCGGCAGGCCUAACACAUGCAAGUCGAGCGCCCGUAGCAAUACGGGAGCGGCAGACGGGAUAGUAACACGUGGGAACGCGCCCUUCGGUUCGGAAUAACUCAGGGAAACUUGAGCUAAUACCGGAUACGCCCUUACGGGGAAAGAUUUAUUGCCGAAGGAACGGCCCGCGUCCGAUUAGCUAGUUGGUGAGGUAAUGGCUCACCAAGGCGACGAUCGGUAGCUGGUCUGAGAGGAUGACCAGCAUCACUGGGACUGAGACACGGCCCAGACUCCUACGGGAGGCAGCAGUGGGGAAUAUUGGACAAUGGGCGCAAGCCUGAUCCAGCCAUGCCGCGUGGAUGAUGAAGGCCCUAGGGUUGUAAAGCUCUUUUGUGCGGGAAGAUAAUGACGGUACCGCAAGAAUAAGCCCGGCUAACUUCGUGCCAGCAGCCGC